rnacentral:rRNA from 1 species
GUGGAUUACCUGCCCUCGGCACCGGGAUAGCCCGGGGAAACCCGGAUUAAUACCGGAUAGCCCGUCCGGCUCUCGAGCCGGCCGGAAAAAAUAGCUUCGGCCUCUGGCCGAGGAUGGGUCCGCGGCGGAUUAGCUUGUUGGUGGGGUAACGGCUCACCAAGGCGUCAAUCCGUAGCUGGUCUGAGAGGACGAUCAGCCACACUGGGACUGAGACACGGCC